AGAGCAAUUAGUCACAUGUACAGUUCACCUGAAGCGGAGUGGUAAUUCCUGUUCAUCAGAUCUCUUUGAUGUCAACAUCUUCCCAUUCAGUGAUAGGGUGGAUUACUGGCUGGGCUACCUGUAGGCCUGCUGAUAAAAAGAUAGCUUCUGCUGGUGGCUGACUGUGGUUAAGAGUCAUUCGAGCAAAUUGCUCCCCGGAAGCACCGAUUCUCCGCAGUUUGUUCUAAGGAAGACUCCUUCCAGCGAGGCUGGCUGGGCAGGCUACACUUGCAAAGGCGAUGCUCUGAAAUUAGAGGUGAAAGAGGCAUGCAUGUAACAGUUUGGAAAACAUACCCACAGAGAUGGUUCCUUUCUGGGCAGAGGAAGAUACUGCUGUGUUAUGCACUUUCUAGAAUCCUUGUGUGAGGCUCCAGGCCUUGGAUUUACAGAGGCAGGGCUGACCAUUUGGCAGUGGACAAGCAGUUGGUGUGCUCUUCCCGGUCACAAAUCAAAAGUGACAUUCCUUGACCUGUGCUCCAAUUAGGGACUGUGAAGGACAUAAUAAGAGAGGCAUGAGAGGUCAAAGGUCACAAAACCACAUGGCACCGAAUACUGCCUAUACUCCAAACUGCUGCAUGGCUGCUAAGGUUUUGCCAUCUAGAAUGUCCCUGGGAAAGUUUCCCAGCUUGUGGUGGUGACGAUACAGUUCUUCCCCCUAAAGAUUUCCCUCUGAUGUCCAAGGCAGAGGUCCAAACCAGGAAUUGUGAUAGGAGAAACUCUGGAUGUUAAUUAUCAAAGAAAAGAGAUGACAGCACCACACCAACCAACAAGUGGCAUUCGGUUCUGGUUGCCGAGAAGAGGAGACGGAUGGUACACGAAAUCUUCCUGAAUGUUCAUCAGUACCAUCCGAGAAAAAGCUGAGAUUAUCCAGGGAGGCACUUAAACCAAACCCAGUACAGAUGCCAACAUCAAAAAUGCAAAUCAUCAUGUGAGAAUUGCCCUCCUCCCUGUGAAUGAAUUUCUUAAGAUCCCAGUGUUAAUAAAGAAAAGCAUUCCAUUUC
ensembl:lincRNA 1700012I11Rik RIKEN cDNA 1700012I11 gene